CUACGGGGGGCUCCAGUGAGGAAUAUUGCACAAUGGGGGGAACCCUGAUGCAGCAACGCCGCGUGGAGGAUGACGCAUUUCGGUGUGUAAACUCCUUUUAUAUGUCAAGAAAAUGACGGUAGCAUAUGAAUAAGCACCGGCUAACUCCGUGCCAGCAGCCGCGGUGAAUACGGAGGGCGCAAGCGUUACUCGGAAUCACUGGGCGUAAAGGACGCGUAGGCGGGUUGAAAAGUCAGGUGUGAAAGCCUACAGCUUAACUGUAGAACUGCACUUGAAACUCUCAAUCUAGAGUAUGGGAGGGGCAGAUGGAAUUAGUGGUGUAGGGGUAAAAUCCGUAGAUAUCACUAGGAAUACCUAAAGCGAAGGCGAUCUGCUGGAACAUUACUGACGCUAAGGCGUGAAAGCGUGGGGAGCAAACAGGAUUAGAUACCCCGGUAGUC
rnacentral:rRNA from 1 species